ACUAGUCGAGUCGGCCUGCGCGGAAGAUGUAACGGGGCUAAAAUAUAGCACCGAAGCUGCGGCAUCAGGCGUAUCACAAAUACGCCUUACGAUUAACAACAUCGAAUGAAGUGAAACGGAAUAAGAUGUUGGUCAAGCACCCAACACGUUGAGUUGGCAUAAAGUGCGGAUAGAAAUCAGAGGAAUAUUUGUGAUACGUCUGUUGGGUAGGGGAGCGUUGUGUAAGUCGAUGAAGGUGUAUUGAGAAGUAUGCUGGAGAUAUCACAAGUGCGAAUGCUGACAUAAGUAACGAUAAAACGAGUGAAAAACUCGUUCGCCGGAAGACCAAGGGUUCCU
rnacentral:rRNA from 1 species